rnacentral:rRNA from 1 species
UGCGUAGGUGGUUUUGUAAGCGCGGGGUGAAAGGCAAUAGCUCAACUAUUGUAAGCCUUGCGAACUGUAAGACUUGAGUGCAGGAGAGGAAAGCGGAAUUCCUAGUGUAGCGGUGAAAUGCAUAGAUAUUAGGAGGAACACCAGUGGCGAAGGCGGCUUUCUGGACUGUAACUGACACUGAGGCACGAAAGCGUGGGGAGCAAACAGGAUUAGAUACCCUGGUAGUCCACGCCGUAAACGAUGAGCACUAGGUGUCGGGGCCGCAAGGUUUCGGUGCCGCAGUUAACGCAUUAAGUGCUCCGCCUGGGGAGUACGCACGCAAGUGUGAA